ACAAGAAUUUCAUAUGACAACGAUUAGGAUUAAAACCGAUGGUAGGCGUUACAAGUUCACAAGCACUAAGCAACCACAUCAGGUGCUUUGUGAGAAGAAAAAAUUAGAUAGUGGUUGGAAAUACUAGUCCGGCCUAGGCGUAUAGAUGGAUCACUGAUAUCUAAAGACAUAUCGGCAUAUUGUAAAAACAUCGGGUCUUCAUGCCAGAUUGGCAGAACAAUAAACAAGUAUUGGUUGUGCUAACAGUUGCACAUUAGGGAAAGAGGUUGCAGUAGUGUAAUCUUGGCAAAAUACGCGGUUCAAGCGACCUUGCGGCAUACGAACAGCAUGGCGAGCAGAUUCAGUGCCAGAAGGGUGAUGAUGAUGCGGUGUAACUUCCUGUCUUCACGAGAAGGGAUGGUGAACUGCCUGGACCAUUUGGCAUGAAUGACGUCUAUAUAGUUCUCCUUCCAUUUUCAGAAGUUGCACUUGCGAGACUAGAAAAGAAAAAUGAAACUUGAAAUUUAUAGCAAGAAACACAAAAAAUGUAAACAUGUUAGCAAAGAUGCCUGGUACAUACCCACUCGUGCUAGCACUUGUUGAAUUGCUUGCCUGGAUUGGUGUUUGUGCGGGAUACCCAACACUGAACCAUGCCAUUGUUGCAGAAUGGGCAAACCAUGAGUGGCAGGGGCGGUUGCUCCUCUAGUGCGACAAGGGGAGCGCUGGAGCUUGACAUGGCAAUGAGAACCAUGUAAGAAUGGGAUAGAGCAUAUCUGAGGAAGAGCUGAGCUGAGAAUGAAACUCCUUGGGAAGAUAUGGUAUGAUGAAGAAGAUGGCCUCUUUUAAGCCUAG
rnacentral:lncRNA from 1 species